GGACAGGUCUCUUUGUCAGUGAACAAGGGCGUCACUCUGGGAGGGGUCGGCGGUGCUGGCGGCCGGGUCCCUGGUGCACUGACCUAUCUGGGAUAGGCAGUACCCUGGAGGGGGGCCUGGGGCAGAGGAGGCAGCAGAAAACCAAACAUUUCACUGAGAAAGCCCCCUCCCUGCUCUAAGAAGGGGCUCCGUGAAGUUCUUCCCAGAGCCGCGCUGCCUGCAGUGCGCUCUGACCUUCUCUUCAUGUGUGUAAAUCUGUAAUAUACCAUUCUCUGUGGCCUGUUUUUCCUGGAAGAAGAAAAAAAAAGGUUUGGCAGGCCAUCUUUUUUUGUACUUAAAAGUAGCCUUAAGAACAAUAAUAAAGUGCUCUUAAACC
rnacentral:lncRNA from 1 species